rnacentral:pre_miRNA from 1 species
AUAAAGUGAUUUUUCAGUUUUUAGAUACAAUGUUUUGAUUUUGUCUUAUUUAAAAUUAUUUUGCGAUUAAUAAUUUUAUUGUUACUAGAUGAUAAAAUAUAAAUAGUACUUUAUGCGUGGCUAAUUUUUUAAAGUUUUUUUACAAAAUUUUAAAUAAGACGAAUGGUCGAAGCAUUUGACACAAAAAUUGAAAAAUGACAUUAUU